UUGCUAAGAGACUGACUUCCUAGUGGCAAAGUCCUACUAGGGAAAUGGAGGCUGGCACUGAGAAGAGAAUGUCUUCCCAGCAGGCAGAGUCCUGGCAGCCAUGCCGAAGAGGCAAAGCAUACUACUUUGGACAUUCUGCAAACAGGUUAAACAUGCCAAAAUUUUCAGUUUAUCUUAAAUGUCAUGGACAGAGAGCCCUUCACCAUCGGGGAAGCUAAACAUCAGCGAAUGGGUAUUCUUCCACCAUAGUAUCAGCCCUGAAUGUGAUACUGCAGUUAAGGUGAUGAAGGCAAAGACCAGCAGGAUUGUGUCACCUCCUUCUUCCUGGAAACUAUGUACUUCUUCAUGAAUUCCAGAAAUGAGGGAAAGAUCUGGAGAUAGAAAUUGAACUGAUAAAGUGUCAGACAAAAAUGAGGCUCAGAGAAAGAGAAAGGGCUUUAGGAACCAAUUAGCCCAACUUCUUUCCUUUUGAAAACAGGCCCAGAGAGAUUUGUGUAUCUAAUAAAUUUGGGUAUCUAAUAAAUUAGGUACACAAACAAGUAACAGAGGCAAGAUUUGAACUAAGUUUCUCUGACCCUUUAUCCAAGAGAACAGUUAGAAGAGAGGAUUUCAUGAGGAACCUAAGAUCCCUAAAGUUCUCCAGAACUUUAGCAUUAAUUCUGUGAAAACCAGCUUGUUGAGAGUUUGCUUUACUGGAAAAAGUGGAUGAAGAACAUUGAAGAAGAACUGAUGAAUUCCAGAAUUUCAUAUGAUUCCAUUGGCAAACAUAAAUUUAACUUUUCAGGUUCAUAAAUUCAUUUAAGAAGGACCUACACUGACCAGAAGGAGGUUUCCACAACUCUCUGCCCUGCGCCGAACCUCAUUGGUUAGAAGAAUACAAAAACUCAAGAGCCUCAGCCUCUACUGGAGAAAUGGAACACAGAGAGAUAGAUUUCAAUUACAAUCCCAAAUCAUUGUCCAUUUGCAGUGUCUGGCCAAGAUAUAGCUGCUGAUGGAUGAGCUCUGUAGAUUGUCAAACUAAAUUCACAUUACAAGGUAUUUUAAGCACAAAACCUCAGGGUUGGAAGCAGCAAAAAAGAAAAAGAUUUGAAGCAGGGCAGACAGGAAAUGGUAAGCUCCUUGAGGGCAAGGAUUGGGUUGUUGUUGAUUUUGCCCUUUGUAUCCUCACUGCUUAGCCUUCCACAGGGCAGGGUAUUAUAUAAAUGUUUCAUUGAGUGGAUUAAUUGCACAUCAGUCCCAUGAUAAGGUUUAGAAUAAAGGGGGGAAAGAAUCCCUUUCUGCUGCUGACAUUGCUCCACAAGCAAAAAGUAUAAGACAAAAAAACCCUCCAAAUUCAUGCUCUGAAAAGGAUGAAUCUUAUUGGGGGCAACAGCUUCUUUAGCUUUAAUUGUUGGGGAAUUUUUCCAAAAAUGAAUGUAAUCUGCUUUUCUGUACCUUAAGAUCAUGGGAUCAUAAAUAUUGAGCUGCAAGGGACCUCAGAGGCCAUGGCAUCUUGGGCUCAUGGCUACCAUUCCCAUCUAGCCUUUUAUAAAUAUGACCUCAUUUGAUCCUCCCAACAACCUGGGAGGUAAGCACUAUUAUUAAUCCUCAUUUUACUAGAGGAAACUGAGACAAAUAGAGGCUAGAGGCGAAGUGAGAACAGCCAUACCCCAGCCCACAAUGGUGCUUAGAAUUCUAGCAACCAAAACCAACCUUCUAGCAAUUCUAGCAACCCAUUAAUUGAUUAGGAAGAUGUUUUAUAUUUCAAACCCACCCCCAUCCAUUUGUCCUAGUCUCAAUCUGUCCUCAGCCCUCCUUCUCUGCACCUGUCUUUACACUACAACCACUAAUCUCCAGGAAUAUCCUCCCCAUUCUCUCCCAAGUCCUACUUCACCCUGAUUUGAUAUUCCUUUUUUUCAUUGCAUUUCAUUUCUUUGUUUUUUUCUUCCUGAGGCAAUUGGGGUUAAGUGAC